GUGGAGAAAGGUAAGAGCAUGAUCAUCCACCCUGAAAUGGAAUGGUGUACCGACAUGUCAUUUCAGAAGGCUCCGUGGUAACAGAGGCACACACAAGCAGCAUCUUGGGGAAGCCUGGGCUGCAGAGAUUAGUGUCCAGCUUUCAAUUUAAUUGAAGAGGGAGAGUCUCCCCAUCUAAAUAGCAUCUCUAGCCAGAAGAAAUAGCAUUUGGGUAAGAUGGACCAAGUCUUAGGAGACAAUGGUAUAGAGACUUCAUGACCAUAUCUAAGGCUCAGACACACUCUGUAGGGUAAGGGAACUGAUGUGUUGCAGUCAGAUUUGCCACACAAAGGAUGAGCUUGAUUGACCUAGGAAGGAAAGGAGUGAUAGAAAUAUUGAUGCUAACUGGGAAUCCCAUCUUUGACAAAGGCGGGCAUGAAGAAGGCAUAAAGAAGAGGGAGGAAAGGGGAAGGAAACAGCGAGGGCGAGAAAAAAAAAAAAGCAAGCAGUGUUUGAAGGACACAGCACGUGGGACUCGUGAGCAAUUAUCUCCACCACAGCAAUGGCUAACAAUUAUUUUGAGGGUCUACUCAAUGUCAAGCAUGUGCUAAGCCCCAUUUAAUCCUCUCAAUAUCUCUAAAUAUUUGCACUUGAGCAAACUAAGAUAUAACACUAACAAAGGCUGCACAGGUUAUAGGCAGAGUCACCAGGCUCAGAACCCCACACAUUGAUGAUGCUUACCCACUAGACACUGCCUUAUUCAGACUCCCCUCCUCGGUGGGUGCAGUACAAGCCUGCUCCAGACCAGUUCCCACUCCCUUCUCCCGGUUCUUCACCUUGCUACCAUGAAAGGCAAGCGUUGCCCUUCACAUAACUGCUUAAUGCUCUUGUGUAGCAAAAUCUAAGAGUUAGAAAGAACCCCAGUUCGAGUGCAAACCUUUGAGGAUUCAGCAGAGAGGGCUCCCCUCCACACCAGACUUGCCUUUAAGUUUUACUUAAUUCUGCCAGUUGCAAAGAAAAUGCCUGCAGGCAGGCACCUGCCUCUCAGUCUAACAACCCACCUCCCUGUCAGGUGGCUUUCGAUUCACCAUGCCUUGGCAUGUCCACCCGCAUCUUCGUCAAGAUUUGCAAGAUGGCACUGACAAGCUUUUCAGGUACUUAAGGCAAACAUGCAUGACAGUCUUCCUUGACACUUGAAUUUUUAAGAAGCCUCGCCCCAGCGUUGUAGGAAACCCAACACUAAAGAAAUCAGGUAUCUUUCAAAGAAGCCAUGUUUUCACAGCCUCUUCCUUGAUGCUUGUUCUAUGGCUAGGAUGCUGCAGGAUCCAGCUGAGGCUAUAUAAAGCACCAGAGCUUUACUUUCAUAUUGAUGCUAAAUGUUGGUCGCCUUAUUGAAGGGCACUUUUUUUUUCCUUGACAACUGCAAUGCGUGGAUCUGUUUGGCACAUUGUCAGCGAGUAUGUGGCUGGCCUACAAACACACUUAAAUGGCACACUUCUAACCAGCACUAAUUUCUGAGUAUCUAACAGAUAUAUGCAGGCAGGCAGAUGUGUCACAGGGGUUGCUGUAAAACUUAAUUAAUAUCCCUGAAGAGCUCUUAUAUCAUUUCAUGAAGAGUGCUACAUAUGAAGAAAAUAUUAUACCUAUGGAUGAUGCGCAUAUAACAAAAUGUGGGUAAAUAUGCUGAUGGGUUUUCUCCUAUUUUCUUAUGCCUCGAAGGGGCUGAUGUAAAUUCUAAUGGAAAAAUAAAUUGUGUUAAAGACAACCAUUUUUUUAUGUUGGAGUUUUAAAAUUAGAGAGUAGCAUUGCCCUAGCUGGAAUUCUAGAACACUGUACAUAUAGGUAGGGGGAAGCCAAUCUUUAAUUCAUAAAAUGAGUAGCAGCCUUUAGUUUUUCUUUCAUUUUUCUUUUGCUUCUGCCAGCGCUGGAUCUGGGAUUGGUAGCUGGGGGUUGCUGAAUACGGAAAGGACUUGCCACUGCACUAACAGGAAAACCUGAGCUUGAUCCCCAACACACAUGUGAAAAGCUGUGGUGUGAUGUCCUUGUAAUCCCGAUGCUAGGAGGCAGAGAGGUGGCUCUCUGGUGCUCACUGGCCAGGCAUCUUAGCCUAAUCCAGGAGCCCACAUCCCAGUGAGAGACCCUCCCUGUCUCAUAAAAACAAGGAACAACUUCCUCAGGAUGUGUUGAUCUCUGGGCUUUAUACACAUGUGUACACAUGUAUGUGCUUUCAUGUGCAUGCACACACACACACACACACUGCUGCCUAUUGUCCUAGUCCAUUUGUAAUACUAUAACAGAAUGCUUGAGAUCUGUUAGAUUAAUGAAUGGAAAUGUAUUGGCUUACUGUGAGGGUUCUGGAGGCUGGAAAAUGCAAGAAUGAAGAGCUAACACUUGGCACGGAGCUUCCUGGCUGCGUGAUCUUAUGCCUGGAGUGCAGAGAGAGGAAAGAGAGGGAGAGACAAAUACAGCUCAGGACCCACUAGCCUUGAACUUCCAAGAUAAGAAACAACUCUUGCAAUGGAGGGAGAGUCCCCAUGACCCAUUCAUCGUCUCCCAAGGGUCUUCUCCACAGUGGUACUGUAAUGCUGUCAUAAGUUCAGAAUUGUCUGGAAGAAGGGCAAGCAUUCAGACCACAGAAGCAGCUGAACAAUAUUUAUGAUAAAUCAAUUCUGUUUCUUAAAGACUCUUAUGAAAUGCUCAGCCUGUUUUUUUUUAACCAUUUAGCCAUUACUACUAAAACUCUUUUCUCUUCCCUCCUUCCUUCAUUAUUUCCUUUCUCUUCCCUUUUUUCCUUUUCUCCCUUCCUUCCUUCCUUUCUCCCACCUACACUCCUUCUAUCCCACAACAAACAACCCAUGAGUAGCUAUGAAAAUCUAGAAAUAAUUGUUCUUGAUUUGUCAUGAUUUGUUUUGUUUUGUUUUGUUUUGUUUUGUUUUGUGGGAGCCUUUUUUUUCUGUUUUACUGUCAGAAAUUUGUUUUCCUUUCCUUUCUGAUUCUAGUAUAUUUUAGGAAGCAGAAAGGUUUAUUAUAGCUUUAUUUUUCAAAUAAAGAAUAACACAUAAUAUGUUUUAAACUGAAGGGGGAAAAAAAGGUACAUGGCCAAGCCAGGUAUGGCAGCACACACCUUUAAACCUAGCGUAGACAAAGGCAAAUGGGUCUCUGUGAGGUCAGGGCAAGCUGGAUCUAGACAGGAAGUCUUCAGCCAAUCAGGACUAAACAGUGAGAUCUCCUCUCAAAAGAAUAAAGAAGAGGAGGAAGAGGAGAAGGGGAAAAAGGAGGGAGAAGAAAGGAGAGGGGAACAUAAGAAAGGAAAGGCGAGAGGGAGGGAAGAAGUAAGG
rnacentral:lncRNA from 1 species